rnacentral:rRNA from 1 species
AACGAACGCUGGCGGCAGGCCUAACACAUGCAAGUCGAGCGAGGACUUCGGUCCUAGCGGCGGACGGGUGAGUAACGCGUGGGAACGUGCCCUUUGCUACGGAAUAGCCCCGGGAAACUGGGAGUAAUACCGUAUGUGCCCGAGAGGGGAAAGAUUUAUCGGCAAAGGAUCGGCCCGCGUUGGAUUAGGUAGUUGGUGGGGUAAUGGCCUACCAAGCCGACGAUCCAUAGCUGGUUUGAGAGGAUGAUCAGCCACACUGGGACUGAGACACGGCCCAGACCCCUACGGGAGGCAGGAGUGGGGAAUCUUAGACAAUGGGGGAAACCCUGAUCUAGCCAUGCCGCGUGAGCGAUGAAGGCCUUAGGGUUGUAAAGCUCUUUCAGUGGGGAAGAUAAUGACGGUACCCACAGAAGAAGCCCCGGCUAACUCCGUGCCAGCAGCCGCAGUAA